rnacentral:rRNA from 1 species
UACGUAGGGUCCGAGCGUUGUCCGGAAUUAUGGGCGUAAAGGGCUCGUAGGCGGUCUGUUGCGUCGGGAGUGAAAACUUACAGCUUAACUGUGAGCGUGCUUCCGAUACGGGCAGACUUGAGGUAUUCAGGGGAGACUGGAAUUCCUGGUGUAGCGGUGAAAUGCGCAGAUAUCAGGAGGAACACCGGUGGCGAAGGCGACUUCCUGGCCUGUUCUUGACGCUGAGGCGCGAAAGCUAGGGGAGCAAACGGG